UGUGAUUCGUUUCUUGAAUCUUGUUCUUGCAAAACUGUUUUGGUAAAAUUGUAAUAUCUCCUCGAAUAUAAUUCCAAUUUCAAAGAUUUUGGUAUCAUUGGAAAGGGAAUUUAAUUUCCUAAAACUUUGAUGAAGAUGUUAUCUUUUAGUUCUGAACCAUUCAAUGUCAAAAGUUUGUAUUUUUGCUAAGUUGUGUAAUUCGUCACUCCAUAUUUCUUCUCAGAAACAGUUUCAGUAAAACAAUCAUAACUCCCUCAGUUUUAAUCCAUUUUUAAUAAUCUUUAUAUCAUUGGAAAGAUAAUGAAAUUUUCUAUAAUUUUUAUGAAGACAACUUUCACUGAAUUAGUAUAUUUGUUGGUCAAAAAUAGUGAUCUUUCUGCUGUACUGUAAGAGUACGAAUUUUAAUGUUAGGGCCUUGAACCAUGUGUUGUUAUAGGUAGUAGUGACGAGAUAACAAGUCUUAAGCAGUGGGAUUUGAGGAUCUUGUCCUCAACAAGAAAAUUUAUUGAGGUGCUUGGAGUAGCAAGAAGGUGUUCUUAACAACUGAGGUAAAGGCAAAACUAUAUAGUGAGGGUGGCGAGCUCGAGGCGUGGAUUACAUGUUAGGGGAUUGUCACGAUGUUUUGGUUUAAAAAUAUUUCAUUUAAGAUUAUGAUUCAAAUAGUUUUUGUAAAGCUUUAUAUUUUAAGGUUAUGAAUAAAUAAAUGUUUUGUUUUAAAAAUAAUGAGAUCUCAUGCUUAGUUAUUUUU